UCUCUACUCUUCCCCUCUCUCUGCUCUUCCUCUCUUUGGUUUCUCUGUGCGCGAAAUCAACACUCACAACACUCAUAACGCACACCGCACUCCACCACCACCGUCGCGUCGCCGCUGCUGGUCCCCCACCGUCGCGUCGCCGCUGCUGGCCCCCCACCGUCGCGUCACCGCUGGUACUCCCUCACCGCCGCGUCUCCGCUGCUGCUCCCCCACCGCUGCGAAUUUUGGAAAGUCAAAUUUCAAUUUGCGUUUCUCCAAAUCCUAGAAAAUGUGGGGUGGCUUUUUCCGGGUUGCUGUUGGAGAACUUGAACAAAUCAUGUGUUCAAUCUGAUGCAAUGGACCCCUGAAGACUUUGAAUCUAAAUUACAGGAUCAUGAUCGUGGAAAAGAAAAUGUCAGACUGAAAAAAGGAGUUGCAAUCCAUAAGCCAAAAAGUAGAGGUGAUGCUAAUGCAAAGAAAAAAAUGAACAAGGAUAAUCAGGAAGCAUAUAGGAAGAAAUUAAUGGACGAAAAAAGGGCUCUAAAAGGAGGUCAAUUUUUUGUUGUACAAAUCAAUUUUGCGGAUCAUGUUCAGAUGAGAGCUUACUGAGUUUUUUCAUAACCCAUCAAGAAAAGUCAUGUAAAGCAGAUUUGAGGGCUGAAGCUGCUAAACAGAAGCAGUUGGAGAAAGAGAGGAAGAAAUUGGAGAACUAUAAGUUCAGUGAGAAUGACAUCGUGGCUGAAAUUGAUCCAAACGUUCUGUCAGGUUCACUUAGAGGUCCUCUGCUAACAAUGUUUAACGAGAAAGGUCUCAAUUAUAAAAUAAAUCCAAAUCCCGUUGAAGAAUCAAUUGUUUGGAGAUUUACUCUUCCAGAAAAUAUUUAUCAGAAGUCUGCAGUGAAACCAGAUAUUCGAUAUAUAUUGCUCAUUUAUGAUGCUGAUGCAACAGACUCGCAAGUUCAUACACAAAUAAUUCUCACACACCGAAAUAGGAGAAGCAAGGAGAAGUUUAAUUGAUGAAAACUCAACAGAGUGGAAUACAAAAUCAGUAGCUUUAGGCUACCACUCUCAAGGUUAGUGAAUGUAGGUCACAACUCUCUUUCAAUACAAAACUCAGAACCCUUCUAUCUCUCCUCUUUCUCUAUUUAAGCACUUAGGGAUUGCUACCUAGUACUAUGCAUUUAAUGAAGCUCUGCUGCUACUUUCUGUCUACAAGUGUGGCAACAGUUCUUUCUCCCCUUCCUCACUUGUGUUGUGUUGGUUGUUCUUGUCUGGUGCUUUGUCAGUUGUUAUUGGUCCCCUUUUGUGCUUCCUUCUGUACACGAGUUGGACGGUUAGGAUGGUUCAUUACAGAUUCUGAGGAAUUUUGUAACCGUGCUAAUGAUGGAUCUCUUAUGGUUCAUAUUUCUUCUGUGCGUUAUCAUUCUUACACAAUCUGCUGCCUCACUAACAGGUUGAUUUAUUUUUAUCAAUUAAAGAUUUUGUUAAGGUAUUCAACAAUCCGUGGGACCAGCCUUUCACUACCGUGGGGAUAAAUGAAGUUCGAGACAAGUUGACAAACUUCAUUACUAGUGAUUAUCUUUGAUAUUUUCUUGUAAUGAAUCUUAUAUUAUGGAUUCUAGUUUUUCAUAUGAUUAUAAUGUAAUCGACUUUUAUAUUUACAAUUAUAUACUUUUUAAUUUAAUUAUCUAUAUAAUUGGAUACUUUUUAUGUGAUG